UGGAAGCCAAGUUUUUCUUCCCCUUUUUCCGGAAGGGAUCGCUUUGGUAAAUCCUCCUGUCAUGAACAUUUUUAGAACCUGCCAAGGAAGGGUAUGCAGAAUUUUGCAGUGCCUUUUACAAGCUGUGCUAAAUCCAGUGUCCAUGCCACAUUCCUUUUCAUUGAUAUAAAGGCAACUCGAAGAUGGGAUACUAUUGACAAGGGGUCACAAGUACCCUCCACUCAUUUCUCUAUGCGGCCAUCCCAUGAACAGUCACUGCACAAGAACUCCAUUGGCUCUGUUGGAUGCCAUGCUAAGAACAGGAUGGACACCAAAGAGUAAAGCUCAACAGAUCCAGAUCCAAAGUAGCAAACAAGCCAGGGGUGGAGACUUCAAAUCCUAAACAGUAAUGCAAGGGUUCCACAGACAUAAAAUAUCACAAACAUAAGUCUUUAGACGCAACUUUUGAUUCUGUACCAAGAAAAUGACAUGGACAAGAAAUAAAACAUUUCAUGAUAGA